GCCUCUGGGGCAGGAGCCGGGGUCGUUUUCCACGCGCGACUGAAAUAGCCCUGGGCGCGUCUCUGUGGGGUGAAACCGGUUUGGGGUCUCCCCUGGGGCAGGAGCCGCGGUCGGUUUCCUCAUGCGUGACGCAAGCAGCCUGCCCCGCGCCCUCAGGCUACGCGGCUAUCAGAGGCACUACGGUAGCCGCGGCGUCCGGGCCGGGCGCGGCCCCACGCGCGCUGUCGCGGCCGUUACGCCGCGCGCGGCGCGAGCUGGACGUUAGCGCCUCGCUCCGCAGAUGGCCGGGCUGGAAUCGCCCCGGCAGCCCAAGGUGAAGGGCUUGGUGCCACAACCCGCAGUCUUAGCCACCUGCUGUGAUAAAAAUGACACCCUAAUACCACUGGAAGAAUUCUUCAUGUUGUAAUAAACAAGAUGUAUACUAAAAAUUGAGAAAUAAGAAGAAUGAGAAGUUUGCCAAUGGGAAAUAAAAUAUCUGUGACAAGUGAA